AGCCAUGUAGUGAACACAAAGCGAACUAUUCUUUCGCCUUUUACUAAAGAAUACCGUGUGUUCUCUACAUUAAAUGGCAUACACCAAUUUUUAGAGGGUUUUCCACUCUAGUGGAAGAU
rnacentral:snRNA from 1 species